rnacentral:rRNA from 1 species
UUUGCUCAUUUAUUAUAUUUUAUCUUUUGUGUUAUUGUUGUUCUAUUGCGAUCUUAGCGCUGUUAUUAUUAUGUUGUUUUUUUUUUUUUUCAAGCAGAAGACGGCAUACGAGAUUCGCCUUAGUCUCGUGGGCUCGGAGAUGUGUAUAAGAGACAGGCCAAGAAAAGCUUCUAGCGUUAAUUUAUAAGUGCCCGUACUGUAAACCGACACAGGUGGUCAGAAUGAGAAAUUUAAGGCGGACAGGCUAACUCUCGCUAAGGAACUCUGCAAAAUGAAUCCGUAACUUCGGGAGAAGGAUUGCCCUUGUGUGUGGAGAGCUGCGCGCUCAAAGCAUAUGGGGGUCGCAGUGAAGAGGCUCAGGCAACUGUUUAACAAAAACAUAGGUCUAUGCUAAGCUGUAAGGCGAUGUAUAUGGGCUGACACCUGCCCAGUGCCGGAAGGUUAAGAGGAGGAGUGAGAGCUCCGAAUUGAAGCCCCGGUGAACGGCGGCCGUAACUAUAACGGUCCUAAGGUAGCGAAAUUCCUUGUCGGGUAAGUUCCGACCUGCACGAAAGGUGUAAUGAUCUGAGCGCUGUCUUGGCGGGAGGCCUGGUGAAAUUGUAUUACCGGUGAAGAUACCGGUUACCUGCAGUAGGACGGAAAGACCCCAUGGAGCUUUACUGUAGCUUGGUAUUGGGUUUUGGUGUCGUAUGUAUAGGAUAGUUGGGAGGCUGAGAUGUGUGGACGCUAGUUCACGCGGAGCCGCUGGUGGAAUACCAACCAUACUACACUAGGAUUCUAAUUUGAGGUUUGUAACCUCGAAGACAGUGCUAGGUGGGCAGUUUGACUGGGGCGGUCGCCUCCGAAAGAGUAACGGAGGCGCCCAAAGGUUCCCUCAGGUUGGAUGGAAAUCAACCGCAGAGUGUAAUGGCAGAAGGGAGCUUGACUGCGAGACUGACGGGUCGAGCAGGUGCGAAAGCAGGGCAUAGUGAUCCGGCGAUUCCGAAUGGAAGGGUCGUCGCUCAACGGAUAAAAGCUACCCUGGGGAUAACAGGCUGAUUUUGCCCGAGAGUCCAUAUCGACGGCAAAGUUUGGCACCUCGAUGUCGGCUCAUCUCAUCCUGGGGCUGGAGAAGGUCCCAAGGGUUGGGCUGUUCGCCCAUUAAAGAGGUACGUGAGCUGGGUUCAGAACGUCGUGAGACAGUUCGGUCCCUAUCCACUGCAGGCGUAAGAGUAUUGAAAAGAUCUGUCCUUAGUACGAGAGGACCGGGAUGGACAAACCUCUGAUGUAUCAGUUGUCACGCCAGUGGCACAGCUGAGUAGUCACGUUUGGACUAGAUAACCGCUGAAAGCAUCUAAGCGGGAAACUGACUUUGAGAUAAGUACUCUAUAGACAACUUCGAGACUAGGAGUUUGAUAGGUUGGGAGUGUAAGAGCGGCAACGUUUUUAGCGGACCAAUACUAAUAAGUCGGAAUCUUAAUC